GACGAACGCUGGCGGCGUGCCUAAUACAUGCAAGUCGAACGCUGAAGGAGGAGCUUGCUCUUCUGGUUGAGUUGCGAACGGGUGAGUAACGCGUAGGUAACCUGCCCGGUAGCGGGGGAUAACUAUUGGAAACGAUAGCUAAUACCGCAUAACAGUAGAUGUUGCAUGACAUGUACUUAAAAGUUGCAAUUGCAUCACUACCAGAUGGACCUGCGUUGGAUUAGGUAGUUGGUGGGGUAACGGCUCACCAUGGCGGCGAUACAUAGUCGAACUGAGAGGGGGGGCAGCCAGACUGGGAGUGAGACCCGGCACAGACUGACUGGGGAAGGGGCAGUAGGGAAUCGUCGGGCAUGGACGGGAGUCUGAGCGAGCAACGCCGCAGGCGUGAAGAAGGACUUCGGAUCGGAAAGGACUGUUGUAGGGGAGGAACGAGUGUGAGAGUGGGAAGUUCACAGAGUGACGGUAUCUGGUAAGAAAGCGACGGCUAACUACGUG
rnacentral:rRNA from 1 species